GGAACACGAAACUAAACCUUUUGGAUGC
rnacentral:sRNA from 1 species